GAUGGUGGGUCACUGUUAUUCUUGAUGCUGAUAAUUUGGGGACUCUCUCUCCCAACAGUAUCUACACAUGGUCUCUUCCAGGAUUCAAGAACACAAAUCAGCUGGUCUCUACAGUCCAGGAGAACGUGCAGUUAGACCUUUUCUUAAGACAUCGUAAUAUGGUUCACCGUGGAACAAAGAAGAUUGAAAAGGGCCCAUCGGCUUUUUCCUGCCGAUGGGAAAAUACAGGUUAAGAAAUGAAAUUACCUGGUUACAAAUUCAAGAAAAGUAGGACAACGUUGGGCUGAG